GUGGGCCCUCGAAAGUCGAAAGGCAGGGGGAUUCAGUCGGGAGGCAGGCGAACGGGCGCCCUGCUGCCAAUGGUGGACCCUUCCUGGGGCCAGGCAGACAGUGGAUGGCCUGGUCUCCCGACGCACUUUUCCCUGCCCAGUAGUACGCUGCGACCGGUUGGGUACCGAACGAGUGUCGGCUGUAAGGGCUGGAUGCCGAAGGUGGCUGGUGGUGUGCUCUCCCGAGUCCCGCCAGUGUUACAUCUGUCCAGCCCGGGCACGUCACCUGACCGAGGCACCAAGAGGCCCUGUGUGGGCCAGUCCGCACCCYSCACCCUCCACGUCGGGAGUGGAUCUCCUGCCAGGGGUCUGCUGUCCGGUUGUUCCGCAUCUAAGCGGGCGGCCUGGCACGGGCAAUGGUAGGCGGGAAGAGUCCGCGCGGGUGCAGGAGGUCAGCAGCGAGUAGGUCGGUCACCCACCCGACCCGUCUUGAAACACGGACCAAGGAGUCUAACAUGUGCGCGAGUCGUCGGGUCUUGAAUAGGCCCGCGGGCGCAAUGAAAGUGAAGGGCGACCUUGUUGUCGUCUGCGUUGGGAUCCCCAGUACCGUCGCGUCUGGGGCGCACCAACGGCCCGUCCCGUCCGCAGCGUCGGUGGGACGGAGCGAGAGCGUACACGUUGGGACCCGAAAGAUGGUGAACUAUGCCUGGGCAGGACGAGGCCAGAGGAAACUCUGGUGGAGGUCCGCAGCGAUUCUGACGUGCAAAUCGAUCGUCAGACCUGGGUAUAGG
rnacentral:rRNA from 1 species